UCUAGGGGCGAUAAGCACGUUGAUUCGUUGAUUGUACCGGUUUCCAAUGAAUCACUGAAGGUAAUCAACGUUGCACGUGGUUAGUAUCUAGAUGGGUGACCAUUUGGACAAUCGCGUGCUGCUGGAU
rnacentral:rRNA from 1 species